UACGGGGGGGGCAAGCGUUGUUCGGAAUUACUGGGCGUAAAGGGCUCGUAGGCGGCCAACUAAGUCAUACGUGAAAUCCCUCGGCUUAACCGGGGAACUGCGUCUGAUACUGGAUGGCUUGAGUUCGGGAGAGGGAUGCGGAAUUCCAGGUGUAGCGGUGAAAUGCGUAGAUAUCUGGAGGAACACCGGUGGCGAAGGCGGCAGCCUGGACCGAUACUGACGCUGAGAAGCGAAAGCAUGGGGAGCGAACAGG
rnacentral:rRNA from 1 species